ACACAGCUGGUGUAAGUUUAAAAUGCUUCACAGUGUGUGUGUGUAACAGUGUAAUGCCUCUUUACAUACACUGAUUAAAUUCCUUGAAGGCUACAUUUAGGUAUAAUUUAGUUAUGCUUUAACAUGGUUAAUGUUAUGCUAUUAUUAUAGAUCUGUGUAAUGGUACGUUGGGUCAACAAGAAAUAGCUAAUUAUAUAAAUGUACUACAAACCACACAAAGAAGAGAACGAAACCUUUACAGAAAUCAGAGUUGGGAAUAUUCCUUCACUCUGAAAGGCAUUAGGAGGCAGAAAUGAACAGUUCUGCAUCAGUGCAGGAACACAAUCCAAUAAAGUAUCUUAAAAUAACAAACUGAUCCAGCAGGGUCAGAUAUGGUUGCAUUGAUCUGCCUCGCCAGCUGUCAGCUGAACAGAGUCGCCGUGGUUCGCUAUACCUGGAGAGACCACCUGACUCCCGGCACAUCGUUCUCAAACUCCCACUGGCUUUCACCACUGAGUGGACGUUAAACAGAUAUAAUUGAGUCAGAUGAUAUCUAACGGUUAAUGGUGGGUUUAUUUCAGUCUUUUAUUUGUAACUAAGUGAAUCAAUUUGGCUGAGAAUAAGCUUAAGCUGCAUAACGGCAUAGUUUUAUUUAGUCUUAAAUGUCUUGCUGGAGAGUCUUUUGGAAAUCAAUAAUUCAGUUAUCUUUAUUCCUGGACGUUGAUGCUGGGAACAUCGCCUCAAAAAAGAGACCAAGCCUGACUGCAGAACAUGGUUUUCACUUGUAAAGGUUCUACAUAAAGGAGAGUAGCAACAAAGGGACAUUUCUGGAUUACAUUAGAGCUGACUGUAAGGUUACCUGCAGUAAGGACACUUCCUUGUUUUCAUCUGGACCCUCCAGAAGUCAUUUAUCAGACUGCUUUUCUUCUCAACCAGAUGUUUAAUCUGACAAACAUUGACAACACAAAUGUCCACUCACAGGUUUGGAGUUCUGUGAAGCUUUGGUGUUCGCUCCAACUAUCGUGUUGGUAAACUCCCUCAGCACCUGCUCCAUCUCAUCUCCUGUAGCUUUGGGAUUCUCGUCAAGGUGCUAACACGCAGACAUGAUCAGUUCCCACCUCCUGCAUGGCUCCACUGUCCACUAACCUGAGCUGGUUCACCAGCAGGUGGAUGGCGCCUCGAGGACACGUCAACAUGUGACACGCCAGACACGAACCGCGAAUCAGCAGG